UGGGGAAUAUUGCGCAAUGGGGGGAACCCUGACGCAGCCAUGCCGCGUGAAUGAAGAAGGCCUUAGGGUUGUAAAGUUCUUUCGGUAUUGAGGAAGGUUGAUGUGUUAAUAGCACAUCAAAUUGACGUUAAAUACAGAAGAAGCACCGGCUAACUCCGUGCCAGCAGCCGCGGUAAUACGGAGGGUGCGAGCGUUAAUCGGAAUAACUGGGUGUAAAGGGCACGCAGGCGGUUAUUUAAGUGAGGUGUGAAAGCCCUGGGCUUAACCUAGGAAUUGCAUUUCAGACUGGGUAACUAGAGUACUUUAGGGAGGGGUAGAAUUCCACGUGUAGCGGUGAAAUGCGUAGAGAUGUGGAGGAAUACCGAAGGCGAAGGCAGCCCCUUGGGAAUGUACUGACGCUCAUGUGCGAAAGCGUGGGGAGCAAACAGGAUUAGAUACCCUGGUAGUCUACGCUGUAAACGCUGUCGAUUUGGGGGUUGGGGUUUAACUCUGGCGCCCGUAGCUAACGUGAUAAAUCGACCGCCUGGGGAGUACGGCCGCAAGGUUA
rnacentral:rRNA from 1 species